rnacentral:rRNA from 1 species
CCCGCGGCCUAUCAGCUUGUUGGUGGGGUAACGGCCCACCAAGGCGACGACGGGUAGCCGGCCUGAGAGGGCGACCGGCCACACUGGGACUGAGACACGGCCCAGACUCCUACGGGAGGCAGCAGUGGGGAAUAUUGCACAAUGGGCGAAAGCCUGAUGCAGCGACGCCGCGUGAGGGAUGACGGCCUUCGGGUUGUAAACCUCUUUCAGCAGGGAAGAAGCGAAAGUGACGGUACCUGCAGAAGAAGCGCCGGCUAACUACGUGCCAGCAGCCGCGGUAAUACGUAGGGCGCAAGCGUUGUCCGGAAUUAUUGGGCGUAAAGAGCUCGUAGGCGGCUUGUCACGUCGGAUGUGAAAGCCCGAGGCUUAACCUCGGGUCUGCAUUCGAUACGGGCUAGCUAGAGUGUGGUAGGGGAGAUCGGAAUUCCUGGUGUAGCGGUGAAAUGCGCAGAUAUCAGGAGGAACACCGGUGGCGAAGGCGGAUCUCUGGGCCAUUACUGACGCUGAGGAGCGAAAGCGUGGGGAGCGAACAGGAUUAGAUACCCUGGUAGUCCACGCCGUAAACGUUGGGAACUAGGUGUUGGCGACAUUCCACGUCGUCGGUGCCGCAGCUAACGCA